UGGGGAAUAUUGCACAAUGGGCGCAAGCCUGAUGCAGCCAUGCCGCGUGUAUGAAGAAGGCCUUCGGGUUGUAAAGUACUUUCAGCGAGGAGGAAGGCGUUGUGGUUAAUAACCGCAGCGAUUGACGUUACUCGCAGAAGAAGCACCGGCUAACUCCGUGCCAGCAGCCGCGGUAAUACGGAGGGUGCAAGCGUUAAUCGGAAUUACUGGGUGUAAAGCGCACGCAGGCGGUCUGUCAAGUCGGAUGUGAAAUCCCCGGGCUCAACCUGGGAACUGCAUCCGAAACUGGCAGGCUAGAGUCUUGUAGAGGGGGGUAGAAUUCCAGGUGUAGCGGUGAAAUGCGUAGAGAUCUGGAGGAAUACCGGUGGCGAAGGCGGUCCCCUGGACAAAGACUGACGCUCAGGUGCGAAAGCGUGGGGAGCAAACA
rnacentral:rRNA from 1 species